GGGUCAUUAGGUUGGUCGUGCCACCGGUACGUACUGGUCUCACUGAUUCCUCCUUCCUGAAGAACCGUAAUGCCAUUCAUUUGGUGUUGCGGGGAAACAGGACUGUUACUAUGAAGAAAUUAGAGUGUUUAAAGCAAGCUAACGCUUGAAUACAUUAGCAUGGAAUAAUGAAAUAGGACGAUCGAUCCUAUUUUGUUGGUUUCUAGGAUUGACGUA
rnacentral:rRNA from 1 species